rnacentral:rRNA from 1 species
CCUACGGUGGCUGCAGGGAGGAAUAUUGGUCAAUGGGCGCGAGCCUGAACCAGCCAAGUAGCGUGAAGGAUGACUGCCCUACGGGUUGUAAACUUCUUUUAUAAAGGAAUAAAGUGAGGCAAGUGUGCCUUUUUGUAGGUACUUUAUGAAUAAGGAACGGCGAACUCCGUUCCAGCAGCCGCGGUAAUACGGAGGGUCCGAGCGUUAUCCGGAUUUAUUGGGUUUAAAGGGAGCGUAGAUGGGUUGGUAAGUCAGUUGUGAAAGUUUGCGGGUCAACCGUAAAAUUGCAAUUGAUACUGGCAGACUUGAGUACAGUUGAGGUAGGCGGAAUGCGUGGUGUAGCGGUGAAAUGCUUAGAUAUCACGAAGAACUCCGAUUGCGAAGGCAGCUUACUAACCUGCCACUGACAUUGAUGCUCGAAAGUGUGGGUAUCAAACAGGAUUAGAUACCCUAGUAGUC